GGGAGGGCUGUGGGUGGCUGUGUUAUAUGGGCAGCCUGCCCUAUAGGAACCCCAUGGGCACCCCGCAGGCACCCCAAAGGAUCCCCUAUGGCAUGGUACCCCAGCCCUAUAGGUGCUCCGUGGGCUACUCUACCCCUUUCCCAUAGGAGCCCCUACCCCAAAAACACCCCUGCCCUAUAGACAAUGCCGUGGGCACCCUGCAGGCACCUCUGCCCCGUGGACACCCUAGGGGGACCCCUAUCCAUUGGCAUCCCUACCCCAUGGGCACCCCUACCCCACAGACACCCCAUGGGCACCCCCGCCCUGUGUGACACCCUUACCCCAUAGGCACCCCAGCCCCGUAGGCACCCCAUGGGCACCCUACAGACACCCCUACCCCAUGAGCACCCCAUGCGGCACCCCUGCCCUAUGGGAACCCCAGCCCCUUAGGCACCCCUAUCCUAUAGACACCCCAUGGGCACCCUUACCCCAUGACACCCCUACCCCAUAGGCACCCCAUGGGCACCCCAUAGCCACCCCUAACCCCCGGGGGGGGUGACAGGGGCGCAGCACCCCGGCCUUAUGCAAUCCCCGCCUGUUUACUGCUGCACCCAGCGGGCAAAGUCCCCGGGAGGCUCCUACCGGGGAGGGGGGGGGGGGGUGCCACCCCAGCCUGAACCCCCAAUAUGGGGCACGGAGCCCCCAGCCCCUACCCCCGCUGUGUCCCCACGUCCCCCCCUCGUGUCCCCCCGAGCCCAAAGCUCCGCUGCGCCUUUAAGGGCGGAUGGGGGCGGCCCCUUUAGGGCGGGGGGGGGGGCAGCAGCCGCCCGCGCACAGCGCCGGGGCCGCGCCGNNNAGCCCUAAUUUAUCCCAAUAUUCCUGUUUUUUAUCCCUAGCUUUUAGUCCUGUACCCCUACUUUUAUCCCUGUACCCCUAGCCUUACCCCUAUACCCUUACUUUUAAACCUAUACCCCUAUUUUUUAUCCUUAUCUCUUAUCCCUGCACCGUUUUUAUCCCUAUACUCCUAUUUUGUGUCCCUUUUAUCCCUAUAACCCUACUUUUAUUCCUAUAACCCUCCUUUUAUCGAUAUAUCCCUAUUUUAUCCCUAUAUUUCUAUUUUUAUCCCUUUUGACCCUACACCCCUACUUGUAUCCCUAUACCCCAACUCUUAUCCCUAUACCCCUACUUUUUUUCCCCUAUAUUCCUAUUUUUUACCCCUACUUUCACCCCUAUACCCCAAUUCUAACCCCUAUACCCACU
rnacentral:lncRNA from 1 species